CGGGUGAGUAACGCGUGAGUAACCUGCCUCACACAAGGGAAUAGCCUUUGGAAACGAAGAAUAAUACCCUAUAAAACCAUAAAAGCACAUGCAAUUAUGGUCAAAGUAUUAGCGGUGUAAGAUGGACUUGCGUCUGAUUAGCUAGUUGGUGAGAUAAAAGCCCACCAAGGCAACGAUCAGUAGCCGGCUUGAGAGAGUGUACGGCCACAUUGGGACUGAGACACGGCCCAG
rnacentral:rRNA from 1 species